rfam:Oryza rufipogon genomic scaffold, chr06
GCGGAUGUAGCCAAGUGGACUGUGAAUCCACCAUAUGCGGGUUCACUUCCCAUCGUUCGCU